ACUUAAUGUAACUAUGUAACUUGAAUUAAACUUUUUAAAAAUAGUCUUGAUCUAAAAAUUUUGAUCUAAUAGUUAAUGGCUUAAUUACUUUCAAUAGGCAUGCUGGUGAAUGUAAAGGUCUAUUGUAAUGAAAUCUUCAUCAAUCAGGAUGAUUUACUUUUUAGUCACCUUAAACACACUAAUCUAAAUAAAUGAAAAAAAAGACUGAAGUCUGGAAAAAUGUAUUCAAUAUUUUAUGAGUUAAAAAUGCAACUUUUUUGUAAUUUGCAACAUACUUUUCAACAACAAAAAAAAUUAUUAAAAUUAUAUUAGACAAAA